rnacentral:rRNA from 1 species
AAUGCAUAGGAAUCUGCCUAUUAGUGGGGGAUAACACGGGGAAACUCGUGCUAAUACCGCAUACUUCCUACGGGAGAAAGUGGGGGAUCUUCGGACCUUACGCUAAUAGAUGAGCCUAUGCCGGAUUAGCUAGUUGGUAGGGUAAAGGCCUACCAAGGCGACGAUCCGUAGCUGGUCUGAGAGGAUGAUCAGCCACACUGGGACUGAGACACGGCCCAGACUCCUACGGGAGGCAGCAGUGGGGAAUAUUGGACAAUGGGCGCAAGCCUGAUCCAGCCAUGCCGCGUGUGUGAAGAAGGCCUUCGGGUUGUAAAGCACUUUAAGUGGGGAGGAAGGUCAGUAGAAUAAUACUCUGCUGAAUUGACGUUACCCACAGAAUAAGCACCGGCUAACUCUGUGCCAGCAGCCGCGGUAAUACAGAGGGUGCAAGCGUUAAUCGGAAUUACUGGGCGUAAAGCGCACGUAGGUGGUUGUGUAAGUUGAAUGUGAGAGCCCCGGGCUUAACCUGGGAAUUGCAUCCAAAACUGCACGACUAGAGUAUGGGAGAGGGAGGUAGAAUUCCAGGUGUAGCGGUGAAAUGCGUAGAGAUCUGGAGGAAUACCGGUGGCGAAGGCGGCCUCCUGGCCUAAUACUGACACUGAGGUGCGAAAGCGUGGGUAGCAAACAGGAUUAGAUACCCUGGUAGUCCACGCCGUAAACGAUGAGAACUAGCCGUCGGUCUCCUUGAGAGGUUAGUGGCGCAGCUAACGCGAUAAGUUCUCCGCCUGGGGAGUACGGCCGCAAGGUUAAAACUCAAAUGAAUUGACGGGGGCCCGCACAAGCGGUGGAGCAUGUGGUUUAAUUCGACAACGCGAAGAACCUUACCUGGUCUUGACAUCCACGGAAUCCUGCAGAGAUGUGGGAGUGCCUUCGGGAGCCGUGAGACAGGUGCUGCAUGGCUGUCGUCAGCUCGUGUUGUGAAAUGUUGGGUUAAGUCGCGUAACGAGCGCAACCCUUGUCCUUAGUUGCUAGCAGGUUAUGCUGAGAACUCUAAGGAGACUGCCGGUGACAAACCGGAGGAAGGUGGGGACGACGUCAAGUCAUCAUGGCCCUUACGACCAGGGCUACACACGUGCUACAAUGGCCGGUACAGAGGGUUGCCAACCCGCGAGGGGGAGCUAAUCCCGAAAAGCCGGUCGUAGUCCGGAUUGCAGUCUGCAACUCGACUGCAUGAAGUCGGAAUCGCUAGUAAUCGCAGAUCAGAAUGCUGCGGUGAAUACGUUCCCGGGCCUUGUACACACCGCCCGUCACACCAUGGGAGUGGGUUGCACCAGAAGUAGUUAGCUUAACCGCAAGGGGAGCGAUUACCACGGUGUGAUUCAUGACUGGGGUGAAGUCGUAACAAGGUA